rnacentral:rRNA from 1 species
UACAGAGGGUGCGAGCAUUAAUCGGAAUUACUGGGCGUAAAGCGUGCGUAGGCGGUUAUUUAAGUCGGAUGUGAAAGCCCCGGGCUCAACCUGGGAAUUGCAUUCGAGACUGAAUAGCUAGGGUGCGGUAGAGGGAAGCGGAAUUCCAGGUGUAGCGGUGAAAUGCGUAGAGAUGUGGAGGAACACCGAUGGCGAAGGCAGCCCCCUGGGAUGACACUGACGCUCAUACACGAAAGCGUGGGGAGCAAACAGG